rnacentral:rRNA from 1 species
UACGUAGGUGGCGAGCGUUGUCCGGAAUUACUGGGUGUAAAGCGCGUGUAGGCGGGAGGCCAAGUCUGUGGUGAAAUCGCUCGGCUUAACUGGGCGGGGUCCAUGGAAACUGGUCACCUGGAGGUCGGUAGAGGCAAGUGGAAUUCCCGGUGUAGUGGUGAAAUGCGUAGAGAUCGGGAGGAACACCAGUGGCGAAGGCGGCUUGCUGGGCCGGACCUGGACGCUGAGACGCGAAAGGCGUGGGGAGGCGAACGG